GAGGAAAGAAACCAACAGGGAUUGCCCUAGUAACGGCGAGUGAAGCGGCAACAGCUCAAAUUUGAAAUCUGGCCUCGGCCCGAGUUGUAAUUUGCAGAGGAUGCUUUUGGUGCGGUGCCUUCCGAGUUCCCUGGAACGGGACGCCACAGAGGGUGAGAGCCCCGUAUGGUCGGACACCAAUCCUGUGUAAAGCUCCUUCGACGAGUCGAGUAGUUUGGGAAUGCUGCUCUAAAUGGGAGGUAAAUCUCUUCUAAAGCUAAAUACCGGCCAGAGACCGAUAGCGCACAAGUAGAGUGAUCGAAAGAUGAAAAGCACCUUGAAAAGGGGGUUAAACAGUACGUGAAAUUGUUGAAAGGGAAGCACUUGUGACCAGACUUGGGCCGGGCGGCUCAUCAGGGGUUCUCCCCUGUGCAUUCCGCCCGGUACAGGCCAGCAUCGGUUCUUACCGGGGGAUAAGAACGGCAGGAACGUGGCUCCCUCUCGGGGGAGUGUUAUAGCCUGCCGUACGAUACCCUGGCGGGGACCGAGGUUCGCGCUUCCGCAAGGAUGCUGGCGUAAUGGUUACUAGUGACCCGUCUUGAAACACGGACCAAGGAGUCGUCCAUUAGAGCGAGCGUUUGGGUGUAAAACCCGCACGCGUAAUGAAAGUGAAAUUAGGUGAGAGCUUCGGCGCAUCAUCGACCGAUCCUGAUGUUCUCGGAUGGAUUUGAGUAAGAGUUUUAACGGACGGACCCGAAAGACAGUGAACUAUGCUUGUAUAGGGUGAAGCCAGAGGAAACUCUGGUGGAGGCUCGCAGCGGUUCUGACGUGCAAAUCGAUCGUCAAAUAUGAGCAUGGGGG
rnacentral:rRNA from 1 species